rnacentral:lncRNA from 1 species
UUGAUAACCAAACAGAAAGUACAAAGAAUUCAUACACUCCUUAAUUACGUCCACAAUGAAGACAGCAUCCAUUCAGUGCGCAUUACUAUUCGUUCUGUUGGUGUCUUUUUGUGAGUUUCAUCAAAUCUUAAAUUACAUACAAACAAUCUUAAGAAUUCUUAUUAGCAUAGAAUAGACGUGUAAUAAUUAUUUAUGGAUAUGUAUUGAACGUGCAGGUUUUGUGGAGGAGAUUGCAGCGAGAGAAUAUUCAGAGCAGAGUAGUGCUGGGGAAAUGAGUGUUGCAUGUUCAAGCCCUAACGAAUGUGUAGCGAAAUGCCCAAAAGGGUGCAGUCCUGCUUACUGCGGCAGUGACAAAUUGUGCUAUUGCAUAUCAAAUCCAGCUGGCCAUCUCGUCGCCUGCUAGUUUUUGUUUAGUUAAAGAGUAUCACCUACUACUCUUCAUAUAUGAUGUCAACCGCGUCACAGUACUUUUUAAAGGAGCCUAUUUUUCUCAAGAAUUUGCGAGUCAAUACAUAUGGUUUUUUGAAACCGGCUGC